UUAAAACUUUCAACAACGGAUCUCUUGGCUCUAGCAUCGAUGAAGAACGCAGCGAAAUGCGAUACGUAAUGUGAAUUGCAGAAUUCAGUGAAUCAUCGAAUCUUUGAACGCACAUUGCGCCUGGCAGUAUUCUGCCAGCAUGCCUGUCCGAGCGUCAUUU
rnacentral:rRNA from 2 species